UACGAAGGGGGCUAGCGUUGCUCGGAAUCACUGGGCGUAAAGCGCACGUAGGCGGGUUCUUAAGUCAGGGGUGAAAUCCUGGAGCUCCAACUCCAGAACUGCCUUUGAUACUGGGAAUCUCGAGUCCGGGAGAGGUGAGUGGGAACUGCGAGUGUAGAGGUGAAAUUCGUAGAUAUUCGCAAGAACACCAGUGGCGAAGGCGGCUGACUGGUCCGGUUCCUGGACGCUGAGGCGCGAAAGCGUGGGGGAGCAAACAGGG
rnacentral:rRNA from 1 species